UGAGUAGCUUUGGACCCGUGUCUGCCGGUAGAUCCCCCGACUCUUCGUGCGAGCCGACUACAGGCGCCGUGUCCCGUCAUUGGUUUGGCUUAUAUGCUGAUGUUGCCUUUCAAGUGCUUGCGUGCUGGUACCCGACCUACGGGAAGUGGUGCUUCUAACACGUUCGCCUCGCGGUGGACACCUUCGGGUGUGCCGCUGCGGCCUAACGGCGCUUGCGGCGUUUCCUCGUGGUUCUGGCACUCCUAGUGCCCGGUGCUACCAAGGCAGCCUCGCUCACGCUGUUGGUCUCGGAUGUUGCUCACGAUAAAGAGUCUUGGCCCUUUUGGUUGCCACGACCCGACCCUUAAGCUGCUCUCCGAAUUUGAGAACAACCGUGAACAGGUGUUGCCUCUACCUCUCCACAGUUAGUGGUAGGAUACGUAACAUUCUGCGCCGAUCCUCAAUCAAGUAGGAUGAGCUUAGCCCGCUCAAUCGUGACAACCGGCUCGGCCGUUGCCUUGGCCUUGACACGCAAGUGGAAGGGCGGACAAAGWCCGACGCUGGACGUCAACGAGGACGUGCU
rnacentral:misc_RNA from 1 species